UGCAGAUGGAAAAACCACCACUACUUUCCUCCUGAAGCCUGAGAACAGCUGCAGCUUGUGACGCCGAGCAGAGAAGAGGAUGUUGUUCUGUAAAUCAGUUAAAAGACAAAGAGAAAAGACAGACAUGACUAACUGAAAAUGAUCUCAUCUCAGACUGCAAAGGAGAAAGUGUCGAUUGUAGCCUCUGCUC